rnacentral:tRNA from 1 species
GGGGCCGUCGGCUAGCCUGGUCCAGGCUGCGAGGCUCGGGCCCUCGUGACCGGGGUUCAAAUCCCCGCGGCCCCACCA